rnacentral:rRNA from 2 species
AUAGGGGAGCCGGAGGGAAACCGAGUCUUAAUUGGGCGUUAAGUUGCAGGGUAUAGACCCGAAACCCGGUGAUCUAGCCAUGGGCAGGUUGAAGGUUGGGUAACACUAACUGGAGGACCGAACCGACUAAUGUUGAAAAAUUAGCGGAUGACCUGUGGCUGGGGGUGAAAGGCCAAUCAAACCGGGAGAUAGCUGGUUCUCCCCGAAAGCUAUUUAGGUAGCGCCUCGUGAAUUCAUCUCCGGGGGUAGAGCACUGUUUCGGCUAGGGGGCCAUCCCGGCUUACCAACCCGAUGCAAACUGCGAAUACCGGAGAAUGUUAUCACGGGAGACACACGGCGGGUGCUAACGUCCGUCGUGAAGAGGGAAACAACCCAGACCGCCAGCUAAGGUCCCAAAGUCAUGGUUAAGUGGGAAACGAUGUGGGAAGGCCCAGACAGCCAGGAUGUUGGCUUAGAAGCAGCCAUCAUUUAAAGAAAGCGUAAUAGCUCACUGGUCGAGUCGGCCUGCGCGGAAGAUGUAACGGGGCUAAACCAUGCACCGAAGCUGCGGCAGCGACACUCAGGUGUUGUUGGGUAGGGGAGCGUUCUGUAAGCCUGUGAAGGUGGCCUGUGAGGGUUGCUGGAGGUAUCAGAAGUGCGAAUGCUGACAUAAGUAACGAUAAAGCGGGUGAAAAGCCCGCUCGCCGGAAGACCAAGGGUUCCUGUCCAACGUUAAUCGGGGCAGG